GGAAUGGGGUCUCAAAAACCUCUUCUAAUCUUUCCAGAAGGUACAGCUUUGGGACCCAUGCCAGUACCUGGCAGCACAGUGCUGAUUAAAUCAGAUGAACUUUAUACUGAAACUAACAAAACCAAGACACCAGUGAGGAGGACGAAGCAGUAACAAGAAACUAUUCCGUUGGUCUGUAGACUUUUCACAUGGAGUCACCAUGCAACUUCUACUAGAACGAGUGCACAAUGGGUGCUCUGUGAACAAUAUGUGAUUACUGUUUAGAGUGCUCGAAGGAAUCUAGCUCAAAGAUCAGUCUUCAAGCAAUUAAUUGUUGUGUGCAUGCAAGAAGGACUUGAGGGGUUAUGUCACUUUUUUCAUCUGAAAUAGUCAAACUAACAGGAAAACAAGCUGCAGAUUGAAAAUUUUUUUGACGAUCUGUUUAAAUAUUAGUUAUGCUGGUAUGUACACCAUCCAAGGGCAUAUGAGUGUAGUUCACCGUGAAAUGUGUGACUUCAGUUCAUAAUGUUCAUGACUACUUAAUUUCAGAAUAAUUGCAAAUGUGUUGUUUCCUCUCUGCCUCCUCCAAUUAAUCAAUCCUUAGCAUGUUUGUUGAGAAAGCUUAUUGGGAAAAUACCAGAAUCUCCUCUAGGUUUUCCCAUGUUCAGGAAAGUCGAUGGUAGCAUAUCACAGGAUGUCUUUCGGCUUCAGUGAUUAAAUUUAGAAUUCCUGAAGUAAUUGCUUUCGUUUCUGCUUUAAAGGCCAGAGUAAAAAUAAGCAAUGAAACCUCUCUUCUAUUUACAUAAACAACAGAUGAUCAGGCAUAGGAGUACUCUUGAUGGUACAGCCCUAAUGAAUUUACAAAACCAGUGUUUUUGAAGUAUUCCACUGAGCAAUUUUAAAGAUGAAGUAAAUUUCAAGGAUUUGUGUAAACCUGUUUUAAUGCUGAUCUGUGACUUUUAAAUUCAUGAGAUCUGGAACAAACUUACCCAGCACUUGGUAAUCAUAGUUUUCAACAAAUAAGCUUACAUAGGAACAUAGCAAAUGUAGGUGAAAAUAAGACUUCUCAUGACAUGAAACCUAUUCAGAAAGGUUAAACUAUCUUAAAUUGUCCUGUUUUUGUUAUUGUCUAGGGACGUAUUCCUGGGCAGUCACAGCAGAACUGCUGAAGUUU
rnacentral:lncRNA from 1 species